rnacentral:rRNA from 1 species
UACAGAGGUCUCGAGCGUUGUUCGGAUUCAUUGGGCGUAAAGGGUGCGUAGGUGGCGCUGUAAGUCGGGUGUGAAAUCCUGAGGCUUAACCUCGGAACUGCAUUCGAUACUGCGGCGCUUUGAGGACUGGAGAGGAGACUGGAAUUCAUGGUGUAGCAGUGAAAUGCGCAGAUAUUAGGAAGAACACCGGUGGCGAAGGCGGCUCUCUGGAACGGUACUGACGCUGAGACGCGAAAGCGUGGGGAGCGAACAGG